rnacentral:lncRNA from 1 species
GUGGCUCUUAUAGCCAAAUCCUUCAGGCUGCAAGACAAUGUCGUGAAUCGUGAAGAAUGCGGAGAAUUCUGCAACUGAGCCAGGCGCCCGUACCCGUCAUUUCCCUCCGUGUAGUCGCAACAGGAGAUGCCCUGCCGGUCACCUGCCUUUAGAGUGCUUUAAAGAAAGCAAAGACACACAAGAACCAAGCAGCUGACUGGACGAUAAAAAGCGUGAGGAGGGAGCGUCGAUAGUGUAAUCACCUUGUCUGUUGAUCCUUCCAGGGUCUACCCGUGAGGGCGGUGAUCCAACGAAGCACUCAAAACAGUACCUGUUUUACACGUGAGUCCGUUUGUGUCUAUGAAACCACACUGUCUGGCUCUAUUCAAGCGUACUGCAGACUUUUUUGUCAUACCUUGGUCUAAGUCUACAGAGAACUGGCCCCAUGGGAGCUGUGGCAUGGUAUCAUGGCACUGCUCCUCGCGACUGUCGCUGGGAUAGCACCUGCAGAGUUUGUUCUUGAGGGAGUGAAACGCGGAGCAAUUCUGCUGGAGGCAGACUUACA